CGCCCCGGCGGAGGAGCGGCCGCGUCAGGGGCACUGACUCGCCAGCGGACCGAGAGCCUCGAGCUCUCGCCAGCCGACUCCGAGACGGGGAACGCCGCUCUCUCCGCGCCCUGACGCGUUUUCCUCGCCGAUUCUCCAGGAUCAGCAGCAGCGGCUGGCGGCCCGGAGCGGGCCCGGUGACCCCGAGCUGUGCUUGCCGCGCUCAGGUGUCAGCCUGCCGGCAUUUGCCUUACGGCGCAGCCAGCUCCAUAGCCAUGGCCUGGAGUCGCUCCCCUGCUGGGUAGGAGCUGGCAGCAUCCCACUUCCCUACCUCCAGGAUGGGACCACGUGGCUGCUGCCGCUGCUUCAGACCGUGAGUGAGAGCGGAGCCGACGCGUUGCAAUUAUGGACCUGCCCGUUACUGAGGAGCGGCCGUGGAGCGCAGGGCCGACAGAUGCUGAAACACGAAGAUGAUUUAGCAAAAUCUGAUCACGUCUGGGGGACAACGUUCAAAAAUUAACUGUUUUUACCUCAUUUUGUACUGACCCCUACACUCUGAACGUGCUGUGGUGAAUCUGAAGACUAUGGCCACUAAACUGCAUUUCUCUCUAAAACCAGCUUUAAAAUACCAUGCAGAUGGCAGACUAGCAAGCAGCGGUGAUUGCCUGUGGUUUGGAAUUUUAACAUCAGCACCACUUGUAAUCUGUACACAGCUGUGGCUAAAGGGGAAAAUGAAGGUUCUCUGUACAUGAUAAACCAAAAAACUACGAGUCAGCUCUCAGUAUUUUAAAUGGCUGAGAUUUCAGGAGGUAGUUCUGUUGCUCCAUCUGAAACACAAGUUUGCCUAAAGACAACCCCCUAUAGUAACGGGAUUCUGGUUUCCGCCCUCCUUCAAAGCGUGGAAAUUCAUCUGGAGUAGGAAGCAAACCCUUCCGGGCUCCUGAGCAGUAAGAGAAACAGGGGACAGGAGUGAGAAAAGACAUUGCAUUCAUGAGAAUACUGUUUGCCCAAGAAAUGCCUUUCCUUCCUCCUUGCAUUUCCACGUGGAAGAGCGUUCCCCUCACCUCUCAGAGCACCGCGACCUCGCCCCCGGACACCAUGGUCCCUUCCUCUGGAGUUUUCAUCUGGAGAGUCAAAAGCGUCAUCUGGCCCAAAAUCUUCAGGGCCAGGAAAGCCAUCUCUGCCCCUGGGUCCCCGGCCCUCAUGUCUUGAGGGUCCUCCUCUUCUGAAGCUACAAGAAAGAACAUGAUACAAAUAUGGGAUUUAGGUAGAACUGAGUCAGGUUCAGUUUUAUAAUCAACUCAUUUCUGAACUGUUUCACCUAAUGCUACAGCACAUACAGUUACUAGAACAGGAUAUGUCGGUGGAAAAGUGCUCAUCUGCUGCCUUGGAGCACUUUCAUAGCCAUUUUUGUAGUUUUCCCCUCAUAUUUCCUUCUGUUGAUUGUGUUGGCUUUUCAUAGAAGGAAAAUUUUGUUAAACAUACUGCAUUCAUUUAAUGAAAAGGCAGGAAAAAUAAUUAAUGAGUGAUGAUAGAUGUAAGGUGAGGUAAGGCAAGGAAAAGUAAUUUCCCUUAACUGUGGUGGUCUUACAUUCCCAUUCCCUUUUUCUCUUUCCAUUUUGGUGAUAAAACAAACGGAAAACACACAAGCAAUGAGAAUCACGGCUAUAACAAAAUAUCCCAGCAUCUCAUUCCUAUUGAUUCUAUAAUUCUUUUGCCAAAAUAUUCUCUUUUUCAUUCCAUUCUUCAAAGUUUACAACUUUAGCAAGUGCAUCUAGACUGCCCUUGGCUCUGUAGGGACAGUGAUGGUGGAACAGCACACAGCAGUGUUCUGCAACCUGAAGAGCAGUUUAUCCAGCUGCAAUAAUCAAGAACUUUGUGUUGCAAAAUGUAGUUGUGGCAUUGAAGUUUGAUAAUUGCCGUCUACUUCUAUGGCAUCUUCAGGAAUUUGGUAUGACUGGAUUCUCCACCUCAUCUUAACUGAGUACAGUUCCUCCAGCACCACACUGGGGGGGCCUGGACAGCUCUCCAGAGAGGAGAAUGGCUCUUACUGACCUGUCAGUGCCAUGUCAGGUCAGCCUGCAGAUGGCUGCAUGAAUAAUUAAUAAUAGUUUUGUUUCUGACAUGACCAGUUGAAACACCUGGAGUGCUUGUAAAGCACAUCCACGUUCUGUGACAACUGCACUUGGAAGGUGCACGCCAGCCUCAGACACAGCCCAGGGUCUCUGCAGGCACAGGGCGAGUGUUUAGGUGGUGCUGAGUCCUCGCCGUGCCACCCCCCCCUCAGUGACAGCACACAGUGUGGAGCAUUCCUUGCCCAGUCACAGAUGCCCCCCACCUCCCUGCUGUUCCCAGUUCCACACUGGCCAAACUGGAACCACCACAAUAUUCCAAUGCUGUUGGCUGUGUGCAGCAUCCCCUUCCCCAGCUCAUUAACGACACAGUGCAUCCUAUUACAAGCAAAACUUUAGAUACUUUUAUUUAGAAUUUUAACAACAUUAACCUUUUAAUUACAAAUUUAAAUAUUUUAACAGUAGUCAUAACACAAUACAAUAUUUUUAAACUUUUACAUUGUUUUUAAUAAAAAACAAUAGGUCUGUCUCCACCUCCCAGAAAACAAGCACAAUACAGAGAGGAGGCUGCUGUGCCUGUACAGGUACAACAGUGAAUGGAGGAGUGCUGUGUAUGGACCAUGAACCAUUUACAUUAACCUGGAUGGUUUAGGAAAACAAACUCAACAGUUUCAGGUACAAAUGGUUCAGAUAAUCACAGAGCAAUAUUGUUUAGCCUUGAAACAGCACAGUCCUCUAGAUGUUUCUUAGAGGGCCUCCCACUUUAAUACUGACAUGGUGAUUCUGCUUAGCUUGAAAAUUACCAAGAUUUGCAACACAAGGCCCUAGGGCUGCAGGAACAGAGCCUUUCCUAUUGCCUUCAGGCAACUUACGGACACAGUUGAGUUUUGAAAUCUACCAUACCUAUGCCUGACACAGCCACAGCUCCUAGAACUGUGUUAUGGAUCCUUAUUCACCUUUUCAUAUCAGUCACGCGGAAAGCCCUGCCUUGCAUCGGGCUCAGUUCCCGUUUGACUGCUCUCAUAUCUUCUUCCUCGAGGCCUAGGACCUUACUGUACACAACUACACACUGUGCAGAUUAGCAGGCAGGAAGAGGCAGGUCUCUGCAGUAGAAGCAUCAUGUUGAUAUGCACAGGUAGAGUAAGAACAGGACAGGGAUGAAAAGGACGGGAAAUUAGAGAGAAACAUACAUACACACAUUUGCCUCUCAUGCUUGAUCAAACCGGUUACAAUCUCAAUUCUAAACCAAGUCAGCUAAAGGAGUGGUUGGGAUUAAGUCCACCACAGCAUCUGCAGUAAAUGGCACCUUGUUCACCUUCAUUCCAAGAAAUUCAUCGAGUUUACAAGCACAAUGAGCCCUUUAGAGCUCUGUGCCAAAUCACUGCAAACUCUGGACAAACACUUGUAUUCUGAUAAGCAGAUUACUCUUAGUUAAAAAGUCAGGUUCUUGUUUCCCUUCCUGAAACUUCUGAAAAAUCAGGACCAUAAUAAAAUACUUUCCAGUCCCUAAGCGUUUUCAAUGUAAGAUCUGAAAAUCUCUACUGAGCUUCUAAAAGUGUUGUCUGCUAUGUCUUUUUAAGUUCUCUGAUGCAGACCAUUCAGCUUGGAUUCUCUCUGGCUUUACUUUUUAAAAAUGGCUUUAAUUGUUACCUUCUUUUAGUUACUGUUCAUUUCUUUUCAUACUCUUCACACAAAAGGAAGAUACAUCUUUACAGAGCUAGGUAGAAAAUAGCUAAAAGAAGAGCUGUAUAGAUGCAAAGUAAAAGGAAUGUAAGAAAAUUAUUUAAAAGGCAACUAAAACACACAAAAUUCACAUUAUGUGGAGACCACAGCAUAUUUGUACAAGCACAUGUUCUUAUACAUAGAGAGUUGGUGGUCAGUGAGAGGCUUAGACCUUGGAGGCCAAAUUUCAUUCAGUUAAACCAGCAUAAAUCUGGAGCAAUUUUGCUGACAGUUAACCUUGAAGUCAUUGUAAUUCCUCCAUAUUUAAACUGGUAACUAGAAGCAAAUUCAUCCCUUUGUGAUUUAUUUGGAGAUUGUGAGCAAUGACAUGAACAUUGCUCUAAAUCAGAUUAUUUUUGAGUUCUUCGCUUGGCAUUAAGAAAUAAGUCAGAAAGAGAAAUAAAAUUUCUACAAGCAAACACAUAAGAAAAUAGUCUCGACAGUCCAACAGAUGCUGUAGCUCUGUCCCUUCUAUCCAACAGUAGGAUCACUGUUCCUGCUCCUUACAAGGACAUUGCAUCUCAUCCUACAGUCUCUACAUCUCAUCCUACAGUCUCAUGCUGUAGUUUGUGACUGGAGACAGUCUCAAAAUCCACGUCUAAUGUUCAAAAGUUUGUCACUUUAACCUUCAUGUCUCCUCUCAAUUUUCAUCAAAACGGUCUCAAAUCUUCAUCCUGUGUCACUGGAUCUUCUCUACAAACUUUCUCCCUUCUCUUUACUUACUGUUUACAGACACGGAAGCUGCUGUGUACAAUGACCAUUUGUCAAGUUUUCUUCUAUUACUGAAUGACUUUUAUGGACUCUAUACUCAGGUAUAUUAGAGUUUUCAUUUCCUUAUUGGUUUCCAGUUUAUAAAUCUGAAACAGAUAGACUCCUUAAUGAAAAGGAAACCAGGAAAAAAGAGUUCCCUCCAUUUACCCUUUAACCCAAGAAAGAGAAGUAGAUUUAUUCUUACCUCUCAUCUCGUCUUCCUCGGAAGCGUGCAUCCUCAGGAUCCCGUGGGUAUCUAUCAUCUGAAGGUCUCCGUCCUUCCCAAGCACCAGGAGGUCCCCGGUUUGAACUGCCUCCCUCGAAUUCCCUGUGAUCGGGAGGAAAGGGAGGCCCAGGUCCACCUCGUCUCCAUUUCUCAUCUUGCAAUGGUGGGCCUCCUCUCCCCUCGAAUUCCCGCAGGCGAUGGCCAAAUCUCUUAUCCGGAUGGAAAUCUUCACGGAAGUCAUCUGGGCGAUCAAAGUCAUCAUGGAAAUCGGGGUGAGGUCCUCGUCUGUCUGGCAAGCCCCUGCUGUCUCUGCCAUCCCCCCACUCCUGCCCACCUCGGAACAAGCCCCUCUCGGGCCCGUGCUCGGGGCCGCCGCUGUUCUGGUCGUGCCGUCUGUCGGACAGCGGGCCCAGGUGAUGGUUGGGGGGACCACGGGUGUCACCUGCAGGAAAAAAAAUCACAGCAGCUUUCUGUAAUGUUUUCUAAAAUCCUCAAGGGUGCUCUAGUUCAUACAGUUCUACAAAGCACACGACACAUUUCACACUAACCAAUACUUUUGGGAAAACGUUUCCUCUGUAUUCCAGCCCACACCUAUGAAAGCUCUCAGCCAUUUCUCUCUGGAAGCACUGCACUGGGACAGCCCCUCUUGUAGGAGACUGACUCGCAGGAGAACAGACAAUACAUUUAAUUACCUUUAUUAAGACCAGGUCCUUGGUUGUGAGGGCCAAGACGACCUUGUCCUCCCUGCUGCCCCAGGCCUGGGAUCAGCGGAGGAGGACCAGGGUUCUGUCCGUCCUGUGAACAAGUAAGAAGAAAAGCCACGUGUGGGUAGUUUAAACAUUUUGUAAGAGUGCAAACCAAUUUUCUUUCCAUAAAAACUGCAUCUGCACAGGUUGUACAACAGAAACAGCCUCAUUUUUCAGACAUUCAUAUCAGUAAUGCUUUCAGUCACUGAGAAAUGUGUAAUUUUAUAGGAAACAGCAUUUCAAGGAUUAAUGUUUUACUUGUAACAACCAAAGAUGAUAAAGCUCAUAUUCUGGCUCAGUAUGAAUAUUCUAUAAUAAUAUAUUGAAUAUUUUAUUCCUCUAGAUGAGGAAACAGUGUAUAUUUGUUUGAAAAAUAUCAGGCACUGAUUUAUAUGCAGGUUAAGAGCUGCAUAGACCAAAGAUUUCCUUUGAUAAUGAACAAAAAAGAGAAACUAUAUGUACAAAAAUAAAUAUCAAGAAUGUUGGGAUAGGGGGACAACAACAGAGCUGUAAGAGAACCUUUCCUGUAAAACUCUAAGCUGUUAACAGGGAAAUACACGAGUUUCGUUUUUAACAUGCUGGCAAAGUUUGUUUUCUUUACUUUAAGGAUUAAAAAAAAGUGCUAACCUUUGGCUAAAUACCAAAUUGUUAAGGGGGUUUUCAGCACUGACAGGGCUAAAGGCAGGAGCCACAGUCACCUCCUUCCUCAAACAGAAGCAGUAGAGUGGGCAGAGGUCUGUGUAUGUUAUGUGAUCCCAAAGAAAAAAAUAAAGUAUGGAGGUGUCUUUUGUUACUUUCUUUCUUUUUUGUGUGUGAAUUUUAAAGGAUAAAAAAAUGCUCUUGCAAUUUCGCUGCUGUCACAGACCCAUGAAAGGUACCAAGUUUACACUGGACCCUCUGUGGUGACACCGGAUGGGAAACUGUGUUUGGACUAUGGUCUGAUUCUGCCUUAAAACAGCAAAGGCAUGGAAAAAAGCCAUCAUUUGGGGUUUGUAUUUGACUGGCACUGAAAAGGGGCAUGCACAGUAUUUACACUGUAAUUAUGAGAUCCAGAAGUAAAAAUGUGAACAAGACAGAGUUAAAACCUGCAGGAUUGCUAUAAAAAACCUUCUUAUGCUGACAUGACCAAAAAUCAAAUUCUCCCCAGAAACCUCUAAGAUGUAAUAUUUUUAAUAGUAACAGAACCCCCUAAACAUGUGACAUUUUUUAAGUAGACAUGUCUGGUAUGCAAGAUUUAGACCUGGCCUUCAUACUGACUUGUAAAAACCCCUCCAGACUUCAGGUAGUCUGGAAAUACUUAAAGACCUGUAUUCCAUCACAUCAUUGUAUCAUAAUUAGACUGCUUAACUUCUCCAUGAAUCAAA